AAAAUCAGUCAUAUACGUGACAGAUUAAACAUGAAUAGGUUAGUUAGUAGUAUGUACGCGGGAAGCUUAGUUUUAUACUUGAUAGCGAGAUCGUAUUAUCAUAAUGAAUUUGUUAAAAUUAUUGAUGAUCUUUCUCCUGGUUGUGAGUUGUGUGGAGGGCAGCGUCCUAACAAAGAAAAAUUUGUUACAUCCACGACAAAGGGAGUCGUGUUUUACUUGUAACGCCGACGAUAGGCCUUUUGGCUGGUCCAUCAUGUCUUACAUGG